GACGAACGCUGGCGGCGUGCCUAACACAUGCAAGUCGAGCGAGUGAAUCUCCUUCGGGAGUGAAGCUAGCGGCGGACGGGUGAGUAACACGUGGGCAACCUGCCUCAUAGAGGGGAAUAGCCUUCCGAAAGGAAGAUUAAUACCGCAUAAGAUUGUAGCUUCGCAUGAAGUAGCAAUUAAAGGAGCAAUCCGCUAUGAGAUGGGCCCGCGGCGCAUUAGCUAGUUGGUGAGGUAACGGCUCACCAAGGCGACGAGGGGUAGCCGACCUGAGAGGGUGAUCGGCCACAUUGGGACUGAGACACGGCCCAGACUCCUACGGGAGGCAGCAGUGGGGAAUAUUGCACAAGGGGGGAAACCCUGAUGCAGCAACGCCGCGUGAGUGAUGACGGCCUUCGGGUUGUAAAGCUCUGUCUUCAGGGACGAUAAUGACGGUACCUGAGGAGGAAGCCACGGCUAACUACGUGCCAGCCGCCGCCGUAA
rnacentral:rRNA from 1 species